rnacentral:lncRNA from 1 species
AGUCAGCACUCCACUUUCCUGCACACCUGUAAGCCCCAGGAACUGUCCAGGUUUGGGUUGAGAACAGUUCUCUGGGUGGUGGCUGUGCGAGAAACCCGAGGAGCAGAGAUCUCUGUGAAUUUGCCUCAUCCUGUUGUCCACCAUCCCCCAUCUCCUGGGGUUGACCCUUGCUCGGAGUCCUGCUGGAAUGAGAUCCAGGCCUCCCUACAUCCAGGAAGAACUAGGAGGGGGUCCUCUGAAUCCUUCCUGGAACACCUCACACAUUCCUUUCAUUGCUGCUGGAUGGAACAGCUCCCCCUCAGUGGAUUCCCAUCACUAGAUCACUCUACUAGAAACUUCACCCCAGGCUCUGUGCUGUUCAAGGUGGGCCUGUGGGUUCUCAGCUCAGCAAGCUUUCUGCCCGGGUAAGAAAGUGAGGUUCCUGGAUGCCUGAGUGGCUCAGCGGUUGAGCGUCUGCCUUUGGCUCAGGGAGUGAUCCUGGAGUUCCGCGAUCAAGUCCCACAUCGGGCUCCCUGCAUGGAGCCUGCUUCUCCCUCUGCCUGUGUCUCUGCCUCUCUCUCUGUGUCUCUCAUGAAUAAAUAAAUAAAAUCUUAAAAAAAGAGUGAGGUUCCCCUUCUGUCAGGCAUGCCCAGUUUCUCUAAGGAGUUCUGGAAUAGUUCCCAUUCUCCAUCAUGGCGGUAACUUCUCCACAGGAACACCGCACUCCUCACAGGGCUACGCCAACAUCCCCGCUCCUAAGAACUCCAUGUGUUUCUUUAUAGAGUGUCUCGCUAGAGUGUGGUCUUAGAGCCUCCUGUCCUCAGCUGGGGCCUUUGGUACAAUUCUACAAGCCUGAGACCUCAGGGGAAGUCCUACUCUAUAUCCUGCCAAGUAAAGUCAUGGCAGCUGCAUUUAAAGACACUGAGCAUAUUUAGUUUUGAAGGGAGAGAGACUUAGGAGCUCCACAAAGGCAGGGAGGGAGCUGCUAUUUGAGUUCUGUGUUGCCAGCUCCCAUCACAGGGCCUGCAUGGAGUAGUAGGUCGGGGGCAGAUUUCUUACAUGAGUGAGGGGCCCUGAGAUGACCUCCCCCCAACCCUGGGUUAGGUUGGGU